rnacentral:rRNA from 1 species
GACGAACGCUGGCGGCGUGCCUAAUACAUGCAAGUAGAACGCAGUUGCGAACGGGUGAGUAACGCGUAGGUAACUGCCUCAUAGCGGGGGAUAACUAUUGGAACCGAUAGCUAAUACCGCAUACUGUGAGCUGGACCUGCGUGGUAUUAGCUAGUUGGUGAGGUAAAGGGUCACCAAGGCGAAGAUACUUAGCCGAACUGAGAGGGGGAGCGGCAACAAUGGGAGGGAGACACGGCCCAGACGACGACGGGAGGAAGAAGUAGGGAAUCUUAGGAAAUGGACGGAAGUCUGACCGUGAAACGCCGCGUGAGUGAAGAAGGUUUGCGGAUCGUAAAGCUCUGUUGUUAGAGAAGCGUUAACUAACCAGAAAGGGACGGCUAACUACGUGCCAGCAGCCGCGGUAAUUC